AACGAACGCUGGCGGCAUGCCUAACACAUGCCAGUCGAACGAGACCUUCGGGUCUAGUGGCGCACGGGUGCGUAACGCGUGGGAACCUGCCCUUAGGUUCGGAAUAACUCCCCGAAAGGGGUGCUAAUACCGGAUAAUGUCUUCGGACCAAAGAUUUAUCGCCUUUGGAUGGGCCCGCGUUGGAUUAGCUAGUUGGUAGGGUAAAAGCCUACCAAGGCGACGAUCCAUAGCUGGUCUGAGAGGAUGAUCAGCCACACUGGGACUGAGACACGGCCCAGACUCCUACGGGAGGCAGCAGUGGGGAAUAUUGGACAAUGGGCGAAAGCCUGAUCCAGCAAUGCCGCGUGAGUGAUGAAGGCCUUAGGGUUGUAAAGCUCUUUUAUCCGGGAUGAUAAUGACAGUACCGGGAGAAUAAGCUCCGGCUAACUCCGUG
rnacentral:rRNA from 1 species